AGAACCCUUUUUGUAACCGCUUCGGCGCCCUUCCCAGACCGAUCUCGGGGCUCAAAAUCUCGAUCGGUGAGCGAGGGAUCGUUUUCUUCGAUUUAGAUAUCUUAUUCUGUUCCUCCAGCAGCUGUGGUGGCAAUGGUGACUUCCCCCAACCAUCCAGAGCCAACAUUCACUUGCCUCCCACAAGCGCCAGCAGUCCCAUUCCAUAGAUUGGUUCAUGAUAGACCCAUUGCCAGGCCAUAUCUCAGCAGCCACACUCCUCUGACUUCCACCGCAGAUCUCUUGUGACUUGAAUGGUGUGUCCUUUUGUCUUCUUUACCUUUUCUUAUCCAAAAGCAUGAUACAGAUCUAAACUUAGUCUCACCUUCUGCUAUAUAUCAUUGCUCUUAUUGUUAUUGUCUGUGGAACAAUCAAAGCACUGGCAGGGUGAAUAAUCUUGACAGUUUUGCCAGUGUUCUUGGUAUAUAUGAUGCAUAGUCAGCAUAGCAAAGAUUUCUCGUGAGGAACACACAUAAAAGUUAAUUCGCGGAAAGGUGAAUUUUGUUUUACCACUGGAGACAGGUUCAUAUGCCUAAUACAUUGGAGAGGUUAUGAGGCGUGCAGUUGUCUAACCAGUCUUCAUCUUGUACAGCUUUUGACCAUGAAAAGGAUGGUUCUUGGCGUGCUCAUUUGAUUAUUUUUGUUUGAAAUUUCUACAGCAGCAUGAUGUUGUUGGCAGGAAAGAAGCAUUAUGUUAAACAUUCAUGAGACUAGGAAAGGAUAGGUUAAGAAACAUAUUAGAGAGGAGAACCAAAAGAGAGACUAAGAAAAAAGGACAAUCAUUCAGUGGUACAACCUUUUCUCGGCUUGUUUAUAAUUCAUGGAGGCAAAUUUGGGAUUCA